AAGAGUCAGUUAGCUUAUACUGGGAUUCAUUCUCUCUUUACCUGGAGAGGGGCUGGAUACGUUCCUUUGCUGGCUGUGAUAUAUCUGGACUUCUCCAGCCUACCUGUUUCCCUGAACCUGAUUGAACCUCGGUUGAGCUUCUUGAGUGAUCCUGUUCAACUGAGUCAUCUGUCGAAAUUGCCACAGACACCGCAGCCUUGAGCAACCACCACCCUGAUGGGCCAGAAGCCACCAACAUCGAGGCCAGAGCUUCCACUAGCAAAAAGAUUACCAAAAAAAGACUGCUGAAGACUCCAAUGAUGUGGUCUGGAGCUGAACCCAUAAUAUCUCCAAAGUACAUCUAUCCCACAGACUCAUCCUGGACCCUUCUGGCAGUCUGAGGACACAGGACACAGGACAGCAUCUUGACUACUAAGGCACUUGGACUGAAGUGAGGCAGAGUUGCACAAAGUCCUCGAGCUCAUUCGCUGCCAGUCAUCAAAGUCCAGUGACACGACAAGUCAGGAUGACGGGUGACGGCCAAGAUGUAGUGGAUGGAUGACCUUGACGAUGUCAGACCAAACUCUAAGAGCUCCACAGUGCCUGCUUCGGUCCUUUUCAUGUUAUUGGAAUAAAUUGCUCUCAUCAGUCCA